AUGUUAAAGCUGGCCUACAUCAAUUUUUGCAUGUGGGCUUGUGCUCUCGGCAUAAUACUUUUUGUGCAGUUGUGUUACAACAUGUUUUCAUUGAGAUGUUAUCCAGUGUUUUUCAGCUCUAGGCUCCUCAUUUCAAAAGGAUUAAAUGAGUCUAGAUGGUCAUGGCUUGUCGUCCGUCUUGAAGUGGAUUCAGAGCCCGGUAGGAUCGCACACCGUAUGGCUUGUACAUCGGAAGAAGAUACAAGAUUGACAAGCAUUCGGUCGAAAAACUCAAAUUAUUCCAUCGAUAGAAUAACAUGA
rnacentral:rRNA from 1 species